rnacentral:rRNA from 1 species
UACGGAAGGCAGCAGUGGGGAAUAUUGGACAAUGGGCGCAAGCCUGAUCCAGCCAUGCCGCGUGUGUGAAGAAGGCCUUCGGGUUGUAAAGCACUUUUGUCCGGAAAGAAAAGCUUAGGGUUAAUAACCUUGAGUCAUGACGGUACCGGAAGAAUAAGCACCGGCUAACUUCGUGCCAGCAGCCGCGGUAAUACGAAGGGUGCAAGCGUUACUCGGAAUUACUGGGCGUAAAGCGUGCGUAGGUGGUUUGUUAAGUCUGAUGUGAAAGCCCUGGGCUCAACCUGGGAAUGGCAUUGGAAACUGGCUUACUAGAGUGCGGUAGAGGGGUGUGGAAUUCCCGGUGUAGCAGUGAAAUGCGUAGAUAUCGGGAGGAACAUCUGUGGCGAAGGCGACACCCUGGACCAGCACUGACACUGAGGCACGAAAGCGUGGGGAGCAAACAGGGAUUAGAU